UAGGGAAUUUUCGUCAAUGGGGGCAACCCUGAACGAGCAAUGCCGCGUGAGCGAAAGAAGGUCUUCGGAUUGUAAAGCUCUGUUGCCGGGGGAAAAAAGGAAAGGAAAGAGGAAAAUGCUUUUUCUUUGGAUGGUACCCGGCCAGAAAGUCACGGCUAACUACGUGCC
rnacentral:rRNA from 1 species